UACGGGGGGAGCAAGCGUUGUUCGGAUUUACUGGGCGUAAAGGGCGCGUAGGCGGCGUGACAAGUCACUUGUGAAAUCUCCGGGCUUAACUCGGAACGGUCAAGUGAUACUGUCGUGCUAGAGUACAGAAGGGGCAACUGGAAUUCUCGGUGUAGCGGUGAAAUGCGUAGAUAUCGAGAGGAACACCAGUGGCGAAGGCGGCUUCCUGGACCGGUUCUGACACUGAGGAGCGAAAGCGUGGGGAGCGAUCCGG
rnacentral:rRNA from 1 species